rnacentral:lncRNA from 1 species
ACGCUGGGAGAAGUUCCCUGAGAAUUUCUCCAGGCAGGGGAGCUGCCCCAGCCCUGCUGCCGCCGCCAGCCCCGAGCUCCUCCCGCAGCCGAGGGCUCAGCACGGGACAGGGUCACCGCGACCCCCCCACGCACCCCCCUCACCGCCCUCUCCCUCCCCAGGGCCACCUUCCCCCUGCACCCCGCUGCCUCCUUCAGCACCAGAAGCUCAGUGCUUGAGCUGGAGCCAGUGCCGAGCCCCGUGCGGAGGAUGCUGCUCAUCAAAACCAUCGAGACGAGGGACGGGCAGGUAAGCAGCGGGGGGCUGCACCCCCCCCCGGUGCGGGGUUGACCCCCCCCCGGUGUGGGGCUGACCCCCCAGAUGUGGGGCUGACCCCCAAAUUCUCCCCCCACAGCAGGUGGUGACGGAGUCGCACACGGAGCGAGCGGAGCCCAAGUGAGGGGGGGCUCCCGGUGCCCCCCCCCGGUGCUGCCCCCGCCGACGGAGGCCAGAGCGGACCCCUUGGACUCCCCGGU